rnacentral:rRNA from 1 species
UACGUAGGGUGCGAGCGUUAAUCGGAAUUACUGGGCGUAAAGCGUGCGCAGGCGGUUUGUUUAAGUCCGCUGUGAAAGCCCCCGGGCUCAACCUGGGAAUGGCGGUGGAAACUGGCGAGCUAGAGUGUGUCAGAGGGGGGUGGAAUUCCACGUGUAGCAGUGAAAUGCGUAGAGAUGUGGAGGAACACCAAUGGCGAAGGCAGCCCCCUGGGAUAACACUGACGCCUCAGGCACGAAAGCGUGGGGAGCAAACAGGA